rnacentral:sRNA from 1 species
GGAGGAUCUCUGCAUAUAGCAGGCUAUAUUUAUCAACCUGAUGGUCUUUGGUAGACAUGCUUUGUUCUAGGGUCAAUUAUUAUGCCCUUUCCACCAUUCACUUCGAGAUCAUGCCUGCAGAGUUUAAUUGUCAGAAUGUCAGUAUUGACCCUAGUUUAUAGCAGACCUCUUAAAAUUCUAGAAACAUUACAUACUGGAAGACAAAAUCAGGAAUUGUCAGUUGUUCACGUGGUACGUAUCUGAACAGCUGCACAAGUCUGUCGACAUAGAUAACUUUCUUCCAGACCUAAUUGAGACAAAAAGGAAGAUGCUAAAAUUAGAAAAAGAAAUGUGUCAAAGAAUUGGGGAGGAAACGAGCGAGAUGGCUGCAAUAGCAAGUACCUCCCCAUCAACGAAAAGCUGCAAAGCCAAUAUAGCUGUUCUCAAUCCCAAAGUUGGGUGAAGUACAUAUAUAGCCUGUGGAGUGCAAUAACAACACCAGUUCAUAUUUCUUUUCCUAAAUGAACAAUCAGAACCACACAGUGUGAUCAUAUGAGAUACCGACAUGAAGAUUGCGCUGAUGCUUCCGACCUAAUAUUUGUUGCAACCGCUUCAUGAAUCCUAAAUCUGGUCGCCUGCAAAAUCAAUUAAAACAGCUCGUGUUACAUGCACCAAGUUUUAGAAAGGAUUGCAAUGUCCUUCUCAACCUACUUAUUCAUGAAUCUUACACUUGUAAAGAUGCUGCUGAGUGGAAAUAGACAAUUGAGUAAGGCUUUUGAAUCAAUGGUUCAAACUCCUGCAAAGAAGGCAAAUUUAAUCCUGUCAGAAUAAGCUGCCAAAUUCAAAUACACAAAGGCAUUAACAGUGGUCUAGAUAGGCUAACUUUUGGGCAACGAACUUAGCUAAUCUAUUAUAUAGUUCAUUUGGGAAUUCCUGCCAUGAUGCUUGAACCAGGCCCGCUUCAAAAAAGUUAGUGGGAAAAAACAAAACUGUUCCUUUCUAUUGGAACUAUAGAUAUUAGAUGCUCUGUGGCUCUCUGGCACUACUGUAUGGAACACACCUCAUAAGUUCAUAACAGACACUGUAUAUUGGUUCCUGCAAACUCAUGAUUUCAAAACAAGAUGGAUGGAGUACUAAACUUGGUGUUCCAUCCAGUAUGUCCUGAAUAUUGAGAAAAUCCAGGUUGAUUCAUGGACAAAGUAAAAACCAUCUAUUUAACACAAGGCAGUAGGAAACUUGGAUUAUAUACAAGUAUUUAUAUUCCCUUCCUAAAAAAACUUCCAAGGUCCACCCCUCAUUUAAGAUCAACCCAAGGAAUAUGUUAUCUCACUGUAAAAAAGUAAUGCAACUAAGGAGAGUCUCAUAAAAUAUGCUGCAUCAAUCUUUGGUAUCUGCAAUCUAGUGGAAUUCCAAUGCUCUUUGUAAAGGGGGGAAAUUCUAAAGCUCUACAAAAAAUAGAAUCAUCAUCACAAGGUAUAACGAAUAGAAAUGGUUGCAUUGAAAUUACUUGUUGAGAAAAAAACACAUUAAUAGAUAGGAAUCAUCAGCUUGUGGUCAGGGUAGAACAAAUGCUGAGAAACUCCAUCGCUCUCAUAUGCACUGGAAAUAUGUAACUGACAGCUAUCAGCUAAUCUUUGGGAGUUCACAAAUUCACUUCAGUUAUGUCCGGAAAGGCAAUCAGGCCUUCUGCAUCCUAUAUUGUGCAAGUCGUGUAUCUCAGUUAGAUUGAUAAUUACCUUUACUACAUAUAGAAUAAAUCGCUCAAGAUCCAAACAGCGAAGUAGAAAGUGAGCACCAACAACCACCAUAACAGGACGCCCUUCACUAUCAACUCCACCGCGGUAACUGUAAUUGAGGGGGAAAAGGCAAAUGAUGUGAGGAUAAAAGGUAAACUAAAAUAAACAAGCAAACUAGGGAGAAUCUUAGAAAAGAAUUUAACUGAAAAUGGUAAUUUACAUACAUUAUUUUCAUCUCAGCAAUCUCUGAGAGACUGAGAGAAUUUGCUUUAGCAAGGUGUCAUGAAUGAAGUGAAUAAUCUUCAGCAGCAGAUAAUGGAGGACCACCAAGGUCGCCAAAUCCAACCAAUUUAGCCCAAUUAAAUCCCUUGUUUGCCUGAACAGACUUUUCCAACUGCUCCUUGCGUCGGAGAUCUGGAUCUUUAAUUAGUGACAUAAAGGCA